rnacentral:tRNA from 1 species
GUCCUGAUGGCGCAGUGGCAAGCGCGUCUCGUGUUCACGAGAAGGCUCCUGUUCGAUUCAGGAUCGGGUCG